CCGGCGAACGGGUGCGUAACACGUGAACAACCUGCCCUCGUGUGGGGGAUAGCCAUGCUAACGCGUGGGUAAUACCGCAUACGUUCCUCUGGGGGAGUCCCUGGGGGAGGAAAGCUCCGGCGCACGGGGAGGGGUUCGCGGCCUAUCAGCUAGUUGGCGGGGUAAUGGCCCGCCAAGGCGACGACGGGUAGCUGGUCUGAGAGGAUGGCCAGCCACAUUGGGACUGAGAGACGGCCCAG
rnacentral:rRNA from 1 species